UUUAACAAUGAUUUAUAUUGAAUAGUUAAAUGUUUUAAUUCGAUUUUAUCAAAUUUGAAAAUGUAAUGAUAAAACACUUUAAAAUGUGAAUUAUAUAAUAUAUAUCUGAAUAACUGAGGACACAAAACCUGGAUUGUGAUUUCUACAUAAUAUGGAAAAUAGGGUUCAAAUUAUGGUUCAUUUAGUUGGUUGUAAACUUUUGAGUGUACUUCUGAACUCCUUAUUGCCUCCAUUUUUACAAUUCCAUAGCAAUAAUUUUUAUUUCAUAGAGAUUAAUCGAAGUUAUUUUCAUGGCACCUUUACCUUUGAUUUCUGAGGGGAAGGGAUUCAUAUUUUGUAAUCAAAUUAAAAAAUUCUUAAUUGUACUAAUUUCCCUUUCCAGGUUUAUCCUUAUAUUUUAUUGCCAUUUUGAGUGAACAUUUUCUUUAUAUCUGAUUCUGGAGGCAGAUAGAAUUUUUUUUUUUUAACUCAGUUACAUAAAACUGUUUUAUCAGGCAUUCUGCCAUCAUCUUUACUAUCUGUUAGGCAAGUGGCAUUUCCUGUUUAUCAGUUUAUUUGACUACUUUCCUCUAAGUUCAGUGUUUGUGUUAUGUGACUUGUCUUUGGUUGAUUUUUUUUAAAAAAUCUGUCAUAAUCAGGAAAUGAUAAAAGGUGUAUGGCCUUUGUAGCAAAUGGAAUUCCUAAAGAAUAAUGUAUUUAUGGAGUUUCAAAGGGAAAUUAAAGGAAAAUCAUUUUAUAGUUAUUUUUUUUAAUUGAGAUUUAAAAAAUUAUUUAAAUGUAUUUCAAGUUUCUCUUUUGAGUGUUAGUAUUUUCAAUUUAAAAAUUUUUGGAGUUGUGUUUUGCCAAAAUCAUAAGAGUAUCUUGUAAUUUAUAACAUUGGUUUUUAACGGCUAUAACUUGGGAUUGCUUUGGGCCAUAGCAGACAGGGUGUCUUCUACUUCAUCUUUUUUUUUUUUUAAUUUUUAUUGUUGGUUGUUCAAAACAUUACAUAGUUCGUGAUAUCUACUUCAUCUUUAGCUUUGUACUUUUAUCUGUUGUAGGCACUUAAUGUUUCAUAUGAGACUUGACUUGAGUUUGAUUUUAAUAGUUAAAUGUUCUCAAUGGCUGCUGAGAGGGAACAUUAACUGACAUAUAUGUACUUGGCUGAAAUUCAAGCCAUCCUGAGCAUGGAAGUCAACAGUGCUUUGAAAAUAAGAACCCAUCAAAUUCAAAGCAAAGAAGAAUUUUGAAACAAUUGAAAUGUUUGAAACUUAUCGGGGACAGCACUUGAAGUGACUUAAUGAGCAAAGGAGGAGGAAAAAAAAUAGGAAAAUAUCUGUUUUCAUAUUUAGAAAGAAUGUAUGUAUUUAAAAAUGUUCAGUAUAAAUACUAAGAUUUUUAUUUCAGGUUAUGAAAUAUUCUGAGAAAACUCAUGGAAAAUUGGGUCAAUAUCAAGUAACAGAUUUUUAUAAAAUGGAAUAUUAUAGGGUAUAAGAUUAGGGUAAAAACAAAUUAGUAAAAUAGAAAAGAGAUGAUCCUAAUGUAAACAAUAAGCAGAUUUUUGUCACAAUUACAAGACUUAUAGCUUGAAGGAGCAAUAUUUGAUCAGUAACAUUCAGAGAGAGAUUUGCCUGGAAAGUCUUUCAAAGAUGACUUGUUUAGUUUUCAAGCAAUUGCUAAUGUUAAUCCUAGUAGUAUAUUAGAAGUCAUUGUAUUGGAAUUAUUUGAAAUGAAUGGGCUGUCAGUCUUAAAAGUUACUCCUAAGAUUUUGUUAUAAUGGUGUUUAAAAGUUUUGGGUCUGGGAUGUAGUUUCAGUGUUGAGAAGCACUGCCUACCAUGAAUCCAGUCUGAGUUCAAUCCCUGGCAUCAAAACCAUUACAAAAAUAGCUUUAUUAACAUAAUUUAUGUACCAUAAAAUUAAUCCAUUUAGAUAUACAAGAAUUUAGCAAAUUUAUAGUUAUACAAUCAUCACAAUCCAAUUUUUAGACCAUUUUCAGUGGUCCAAAAAGUCUUUAUUUUGCUCCUUUGAAGUUAAUUCUCUUUCCUAUUCUCAACUCUAGGUAAACUCACUGAUUGCUUUCAAGUGUAAGUUUCCCUAUCUAGAAAUUUCACCUAAGUAGAAUCAUACAGUUUGUACUUUUUUUGCAUCUUUCAUUCAGCAUGUUGUAGAGGUUUAUCAGUGUUUUACUUUAUAUGUACUUAGUUCUUUUGCUUACCGAACUAUUCCAGUGUUUGGAUAUACUAUGCUUUGAUUUUCUAAACUGGUGAUAAGAUAUUGGCUUACUCUUUUAAUAAUAAUGCUAUGAACAGUAACGUGUAUGUCUUUGUGUGAACAAAUUUUCAUCUCUGCAAUGGAAUUGCUAGAUUGUGUUGUAAAUUUAAUUUUUAAAAAAAUACUGUGAAACUUUUUUCUAAAGUAUCUGUACCAUUUAGAAUUCUGCCUGCCAUAACAUUCGAGGUUUGCAAUUCACAUUCUUGCCAAUGCUUGUUUUUGUUUUUCACUUUUGCCAUUCUGGUGGAUAUGUAUUUUUUUAAUAUUUACUUUUUUAGUUGGACACAAUAGUUUUAUUUUUAUGUGGUACUGAGGAUCAAAUCCAGAGCCUCGAACGUGCUAGGCAAGAGUUCUACUGCUGAGCCACAACCCUAGCCCUUGGUGGAUAUGUAUUUUAAGUGUACAACUUAACACCUGGCUAUCCUAAUUCAUAUAUGGAAUGUGCAAUUUGGGUGAGUAUUCAAAUGGCCCAAGGGAUUGCUGUAGAAUUAGUUAAGUUACUAAAAUCAUCAUGGAUCUGUACUUAAUGUGGAGGUAGUAUUUUCUGUAACCUAAGCGGGUAAUUCUUACACCUGUAGUGCCCUCAGUGAUCUCUCUUCAGUUGCCGUGAGGUGGAGUGUUGCUGACUGUUGGUGUGUGGCUGGUGUCUCGUGUACCUUGCUUGAUAGAGCUACCCGGUUAGCUUCUGACUGGUAAGGGUAAUUAAAACUUAACAUAAAUUACUGUGUACAUCUCGUUUUCCUAAUCUUUUGGGAAUUAAAAGAUUGAGUUUAUAGACAUUUAGUUGAUAUCAUUUAUUGCUGAGCACUUUUCAGAGUGCUCUUGUAGUUGAAGUGAGUACAUUUUAUUUUUAAAUGCUCUUAUUAGCACAUUAUAGUUAAACAUAAUAGUUGGGUCCAUCUUGACGUAAUUAUACAUGCAUGGAGUUUAAUUGGGUUCAUCUCAGUCCCCAGUGCCUUCUUUUUCCAUUCCCCCCUCCUUCCCACUAUUCCUCUAUUAUGCUGGUCUUCUGUCUAAUUUGUUUUUUAAGUUGGUGCUUUAUAGAUAUAUGUAAAGAUGGAAUUUUUAGCAUAAUAUAACCAUUGAAUUAAUUCUACAUUUCCUCCCUUUCCUGCCCAUCUCCCCACCGCCCCCAUUCUUCUACUUCACUAAUCUUCCCUCUAUACCCUUAGAAAAUAUGACCCUGUCCUGCUUUUUUCCCUUAUCUUACUCUAGCUUCCAUGUGUGAGAGUGUUUGAGCCUUGACUUUCUGUGUCUGGUUUAUUUCACUUAGUAAAAUGUUCUCUAGUUCCAUCCAUUUGCUGACAUGCCAUAAUCUCAUCUUUUUUUUUUAAGAUGCUAUCAGGGAAUGAACCUACAGGCGCUUAUCUAUUGAGAGACAUCCCCAGCCCUUUUGUUUAAUUAUUUUGAGACAUGAUCUUGCUAAAUUGCUUAGGGUCUCACUAAUUUGCUGAGGCUGGCUUUGAACUAGUGAUUCUCCUGCCUCAGCCUCCCAAGCUGCUUGGAUUAUAGACAUGCAUCAUUGUGUCUGGCCAUAAUUUAUUUCUUCAUGGCUGAGUAAAACUUCAUUGUGCAUAUUUAUAUAUUAUAUUUUCUUAAUUCAUUUUUCUGUCAAUGGGCAUCUGGACUGAUUUUAUAAUUGGCUAUUGUGAAUUAUUCUGCUUGUAAAUAUUGAUGUGCCUGUAUCAUUACAAUAUGCUGAUUUUCGUUCUUUUGGGGUCAACACCGUGAGUGGUAUAAGUGGGUCAUAUGGUGAUCCUAUUCCUGUUUUGGGGGGUGGGGUGGGGGGUGGGGAAGGACUCUAUAUACUGCUUUCCAAAGUGGUUGUACUCAUUUGCAAUCCCACCAACAAUGUGUGAGUAUAAAUUUUCCCCUACAUCCUCACCAGCAUUAUAGAUAGACUGAUUUUUUUUUUUUUUUUCCAGUGCUGGGGUUGAACCCAGGGCCUUGUGCAUGCAAGGUAAGCACUCUACCAACUGAGAUAUAUCCCCAGCCCCUCCCUAUAUUCUGAUUGUUAUUCUAACUGGAGCCAGAUGGAUUCUCAAUGAUUUACAUUGCCUGAUUGCCAGGCAUGUUGAGCAUUUUUCCAUGUGUUUAUUUGGCCAGUAUUUCUAUUUUUAAUGGAAGAUUUUGGACACGCAAAAGGAGACUAACCUAAUGAACCUGUUUCAACAUGAUUGAUUCAUGCCCAAUUUUUUGUUUUAAUAUCUUAUUUUUUAGGUGUAGAUGGACACAACAUAAUGCCUUUAUUUAUUUAUUUUUUUUAUGUGGUGCUGAGGAUCGAACCCUGGUCCCGCCUGUGCUAGGUGAGCGCUUUACCACUGAGCCACAAUCCCAGCCCUGAUUCAUGGCCAAUUUUGAUUUAUCUAUGACACUCACUUUUUGACCAUUAAUUUAUUUUGAAGCAAGGCCUAGAGAGCAAAUUAUUUAAUUUGUAAAUAACUUCAGUAUGUAUGUAUACAAGAUAGAGCUUGUAAAUAUAACCAUAAUUCUGUUUUUACAGAUAAAUGUUAACAAUUUUUUUUUUAACAAUUUCCUAAUGUUGGGCUGGGGAUGUGGCUCAAGCGGUAGCGCACUCGCCUGGCAUGCGUGUGGCCCCGGGUUCGAUCCUCAGCACCACAUACAAAACAAAGAUGUUGUGUCCGCCGAUAACUAAAAAAUAAAUAUUAAAAAAAAAAAAAUUACAAAUGAGCAAAGGUUUUGAACUGACAUUUCUCUAAAUAAAAUACAGAAAUGACUAAUAUGCCUAGGAAAAGAUGCUCAAUAUGCUUAGCCAUAGGGAGAUGCAAAUCAAACCCACAAGAAGAUAUCACUUCACAUCCAUUAGGAUUGCUUUAAUAAGAAGGAUGACAGGGCUGGGGUUUUGGCUCAGCGGUAGAGCGCUCGCCUAGCACAUGUGAGGCCCUGGGUUUGAUCCUCAGCACCACAUAAAAAUAAAAAAGGUAUCGUGUCCAACUACAACUAAAAAAUAUAUAUUAAAAAAAAGAAGAAGGAUGACAACAUUGGAGGAAAAUAGAUGGAAUUUCAGAGCAUUAUGUGAAGUGAAAUAAGCCAGACUCUGAAAGUCAAAGAGUUACGUUAUCUCUCAUGGAAGCUAGAGAAAGGGGGAGGGGUGUGUGGGGGCAGAUUUCAUGAAAGUAGAAGGAAGAUUAGUAGAGAAGGGGACCAGAAGGAGGAAAAGGGGAGUUACUGGGUGUGGAAUUGACCAAAUUAUGUCAUGCAUGUGUAAAUGUGUCUCAGUGAAUCCCACAAUUAUGUAUAAUUUCCUUUUAAAGGAAAGUUUUUAAAUUUUUGUAAAAAGCUUGUAAAAGUUCCUUUUAAAAUGAGGAUAUGGAAAAAUUGGAAACAUUGUUGGUGAGAAUUAAAUUGGUACAGCUGCUUUGAAAAAGAGUUCGGCUGUUCUUGAGAGUUAAACAGAAUGUGAUCUACCAGUUCUAUUCCUAGGUAUGUACUCAAAGAGAAUUGAAAACGUUCACACAAAAACUUGUACAUAAAC
rnacentral:lncRNA from 1 species